rnacentral:rRNA from 1 species
GAUGAACGCUGGCGGCGUGCUUAACACAUGCAAGUCGAACGAUGAAGCCCAGCUUGCUGGGUGGAUUAGUGGCGAACGGGUGAGUAACACGUGAGUAACCUGCCCUUGACUCUGGGAUAAGCCUGGGAAACUGGGUCUAAUACUGGAUAUGACUUCUCAUCGCAUGGUGGGGGGUGGAAAGAUUUAUUGGUCUUGGAUGGACUCGCGGCCUAUCAGCUUGUUGGUGAGGUAAUGGCUCACCAAGGCGACGACGGGUAGCCGGCCUGAGAGGGUGACCGGCCACACUGGGACUGAGACACGGCCCAGACUCCUACGGGAGGCAGCAGUGGGGAAUAUUGCACAAUGGGCGCAAGCCUGAUGCAGCGACGCCGGGUGAGGGAUGACGGCCUUCGGGUUGUAAACCUCUUUCAGUAGGGAAGAAGCGAGAGUGACGGUACCUGCAGAAGAAGCGCCGGCUAACUACGUG